GCUUGCAUACCUCCAAGUUGGAGAGCUCACUCCUUUCUCAGGCAGGCAGGCUGCCCUGUCCUGGCAGCAGGAACACUGGGAAAUACUUCCUGACCCUGGGUGGAAACUUGGCUCAGAGUUCACAGUCUCAGCAGCAGCUCACAAUCAGCACCUCUAGGGAGGGGGCCAGGCCUGAUGCAUUUCUUGGUUGUGCUGGCAGUGGAACCUGUUCUUGUACCUGCUAGAGACUCUUCAUCUAUAAAAUCUGAGUGAUCACAUCCACUAGAAGGCCAAAUGUCCACACGCAGAGAGCCAAGGAGUGCAACGUGCACAGCUGUGGAUGGCAAGGCACAUCUGCUGGGACAGUACUCAGGAUGGAAUAUCAAGGCGGGAGUACCAAGAGUUCAAGGCCAACCUGGGCUACGUGGUCAGCAAGAUUUAGGCUUCCGACUCCUUUUCAGAUGAGAACACAUGCCAAGCAGCCCAGAGUGGCUCGUCUACAGUCUACAGUGCCAAAGAUGGUACAUGUGUCCCUCAACGUUAUGGUACCCUAGUCUGGCAGCACUGCAGAAGAUUGGAAAAGGACAAGGGGCCAAAUGAGACUCAGUGCUAGCCAAUCAAUCCACAGAGACCUUGGACUCAAACCGAGGACCCAGCUCCCCUCUUUGUAGCCUGUGGGCUCAAGGAAACUGUGAGAUUACCCAUGAGGUCUCAAGAUUAUCUUUGUGUCACUUGGUACAUGUCGAAUCCAAACAGCACACAAUCUGAGCACAGGUUUAUCAUUCCCAUACCCUCUCCAUGGCUGAGCUCACCAUCAGGAUUCCCCAGCCUCAGACAACCACAGUGGGUGAACUCAAGGACAGGGCUAUCUAGGGCGACUUCUUACCUCUUGGUUAGCUUUCAGGAAAUUAAUUUCCCGUAUAAAAUUCAACUUAAAGUAAAUUAUUAGGAAGAGAAGCUCCACCUCCCUCCCCCAUCCAAAGGGAAAGCAUUUGCCCCCGCUUCAGCGUGUGAAUUAAAGAUCAAGGCUGCGGCCUGUCAUUAGUGUUA